CUCAAGUAUCAUCCAGAUGUAAGGGUUUGUUAUUUAUUCCUAGCACUUUGUCAUUCAACGCAGAAUCAGAUUUUCCAGCUCAUCUUCAAUAAACAUGUAUUUGGGCCUCCACGGAAAGUGCAAAUCUCCUGCUUUACCUGAGUCACAUGGAAGGAGUCAGAACUUACUCCCGGAGUCUCUUUCCUCACCUGACCCAAUGCACACCCCUUACCUCCCUCCCGGACUCUGAGAUCCAGCUGCCUGAAUACCUAGUGAGCGAUCAGAAAACUUCCCCCAGGCCAGGCACAGUGGCUCACACCUGUAAUCCCUGGCCUCGUCCCCCCGCACUUUGGGAGGCAGAGGCGGAUCACCUGAGGGCAGGAAUUCGAGACCAGCCUGGCCAACAUGGCGAAACCCCAUCUCUACUAAAAAUAUAAAAAUUAACUGGACGUGGUGGUGGGCGCCUGUAAUCCAGCUACUCAGGAGGCUGAGGCACGAGAAUCACUGGAACCUGGGAGGAAGAGGUUGCAAUAAGCCAAGAUUGCACCACUGUGCUCCAGCCUAGACAACAGAGAAAGACUCUGUCUCAAAAAAUAAAAAUACAAAUAAAAACUUCCCCCAACUAGUUCCCCCAACUAGUCUCAGAAGUCCCCCUCCCCCUGCUGCCUCAACUGAACUCCACUGUCCCUUACCGCAGUCUCAAGUGGUGGCUUUUGUCUCCCAGCCCUCAUUCCUCAGCAUCCGCUUUGAGUCUGUGGCCUCCCUUCCUCCCCAUUUUAAUUUCCACACCGUUACUCAUCCUGCCUCUUGGAAAACUAUGGUUCCUCUAAGGCUCAUGCCACCUGCCUGUGCUACCCUUCUGCUUUCCUCAAUACUGGCAGCCCAGCAAUCCUGGUGGUUCAUUUUCAUUUUCUUUUGUUUCUUGAUAUGGAGAUGGGGUUUUGCUAUAUUGGCCAGGCUAGUCUGGAAUUCCUGAGCUCAAGCAUCCUCUGGCCUCAGCCUGCCAAAGUGCUGGGAUUAUAAGUGUAAGCCACUGCACCUGGCCUCAUUCUCAUUUUCUGAGACUCGGCCACUGGCUCCCAGUCUCCUUUUCUACACAGUUGCUGUCAUUAUCCUCAGUGACUUCACUGUCAUGGCCAGCCCAUCCAACACCCCACUGCUCAAUCCCUUGACUCUGGCUGUUCAAAGCCUUUUUCCCCCUCUCCUCCUCAGAGGCCAGCUCCUGUGGACACAACCUGGGCUUUGUCAUCACCAGAAGCUGCUCAGCCUGCAAAUUCACAUGCUCAUCAACCCAACCCUUCAAGGUCACUUGCUCAAAUACUCCCCAAAGUAGCACUUCCCUCCCAAGUCCACUAGCUGGUGGAACUGGUUACGUUAUAUAAUAUGCUCUGCCUGCCUUCCACAACCCAGGGAAAAAAGUUAAAUGUGGCUGGGCGUGGUGGCUCAUGCCUGUAAUCCCAACACUUUGGGAGGCCAAGCAGAGUGGAUCACAAGGUCAGGAGAUCAAGACCAUCCUGGCUAACAUGGUGAAACCCUAUUUCUACUAAAAAUACAAAAAAAAAAAAAUUAGCCAGGCGUGGUGGUGGGCGACUGUAGUCCUAGCUACACUUGGGAGGCUGAGGCAGGAGAAUGUCGUGAACCCAGGAGGUGGAGGUUGCAGUGAGUGGAGAUCGCGCCACUGCACUCCAGCCUGGGCAACAGAGCAAGACUCCAUCUCCAAAAAAAAAAA
ensembl:lncRNA